GAAAGGCAUCUGAUGUUCAUGGAUAGUCUCCCCAAAUCUGCCUAUAAAUUCAUUGCAAUCCCAAUCAAAAUCUCAGUCAAGUUUUCUGAUAAAACUGAUAAGAUGAUCCUAAAAUUAGACAGAAAUGCAGAUUUAGAAUAGCCAAAUAAUCUUGAAAAAGAACAAAACUGGAGAACGUAUACUACCUAAUUUCAAGAUUUAUUAUAAAGCUACAGUAGUCAAGAAAGUGUGUUAUGAGCAUAAAGAUCAACAAAGAGAUCAGUAGAAUAAAAGAGAAAAUCCAGAAAUAGAUCCACAUAUGCAAUCAACUUGUUUUGAACAAAGUAUCAAGUCAAUUUGAUGAGAGGAUGGGGAGUUUAACAAAUGGUCCUGGGCCGGGCGCGGUGGCUCACACCUGUAAUCCCAGCAGUUUGGGAGGUUGAGGCGGGCAGAUCACAAGGUCAAGAGUUCGAGACCAGCCUGGCCAAUAUGGUGAAACCCCGUCUCUACUAAAAAUACAAAAAAUUAGCCAGGCGUGGUGGCACAUGCCUGUAAUCCCAGCUACUUGGGAGGCUGAGGCAGGAGAAUUGCUUGAACCUGGGAGGCGGAGGUUGCAGUGAGCCGAGAUCAGGACACUGCACUCCAGCCUGGCGACAGAGAGAGACUCCCUCUUUAUUUUUUUUUAUUUUUUUUUUUUAUUUUUGAGACAGAGUCUAGCUCUGUCGCCCAGGCUGGAGUACAGUGGCGCGAUCUCGGCUCACUGCAACCUCUGCCUCCCGGGUUCACGCCAUUCUCCU
rnacentral:lncRNA from 1 species